rnacentral:tRNA from 1 species
AUUUAUAUAGUAUAAAAAUUAUUUUCGACUUCCAAUUGAAAGAUCUAACAAAUUUUAGUAUAAAUA